rnacentral:lncRNA from 1 species
GAAAUAAGUCACCCAGGACAAAUGCAACGACUAAUAAUAUCCAGACAUGUCUAGCUAGUCCUCUCUGAUGUUCAGUAUGAAUACUGUUUAACUUAGAUAGAAAUGAACUUAUAUUGCCUAAUUGGUUUGAGUCUAAAGGGGGUGAGAGAAGGAGGGUUAUGAUGAGACCAAUAACUCACUGAGUGAAUCUGUCCCUCUCAAGACUGCCAUCACUCCAUCAGCAUGCAAUAACGCUGGACUCAAUUCCAGGUUCUCUACCCCUAUGUUGUGUUGACCUGUGACUCCCUAACAUUAUCUCUGAUUGGUGGAGCUGCUGUGUGUAUGGGAUUGAACAGGAAGUGCGUUGAGCGAAGAAUGAUUUCAGAAAUGUAACGAGGUCAGAGAUCUUUU